rnacentral:rRNA from 1 species
UCCUACGGGAGGCAGCAGUGAGGAAUAUUGGUCAAUGGACGCGAGUCUGAACCAGCCAAGUAGCGUGAAGGAUGACUGCCCUAUGGGUUGUAAACUUCUUUUAUAUGGGAAUAAAGUGGUCCACGUGUGGAUUUUUGUAUGUACCAUAUGAAUAAGGAUCGGCUAACUCCGUGCCAGCAGCCGCGGUAAUA